rnacentral:snRNA from 10 species
AUCACUUCUUGGCCUUUUGGCUAAGAUCAAGUAUAGUAUCUGUUUUUAUCAGUUUCAUAUCUGAUAUGUCCUCUAUCCAAGGACAAUAUAUUACAUGGAUUUUUGGAAACAGGAUCGAAUAAGAGCUUGCUACAUCCACUCCACACAUUGACCUAGUAUUGCAGUACUUCCAGGAACAGUGCACCCAAA